CAAUGGAAGUUUUUUGGGCGUGACGUGCAAUAAACCAAUCAGAGUCUCAUCUCCCAUUUCCUUUAAGAGUGAGUUGCGCUUUAAACGGCGGAAUUUUAUGGCCACAUACUGAGAGCAAACGGAUCUGCUCAUGCGCGAGCAAAUAGACGCAGGCCUCCCCUGAGCAGGAUCACAUGGUUUUUCUGGACAGAGCUCCAGACACCGGAACAUCUGCUCUACUUCUCCUCAGACUGGGGCCAAAUCUCCAACCUGACCAGACUGCACACAGCAGUUCAUCUCAUCUCAUUUAUGGCAAACAUGGACCGCCUCUGAUGUCCCCUUCAAGAAAUAUGUGCAUUACAUCCCUGAGUAUAGGCUAGUGAAAGAGAAUAAAUGUUGUAUGAUGAGGAUGAGGUAGUUGGCCAGAGGUUGAUGACUAAGCAGUUUUUUUUUUCUGCAAAAUGUGAGUGUGUGUUGAAGACAGAGAGGCAGUGACAGAGAGAAAAUAAGGUUUAACAUGGUAAAAUACAGCUAGGGUUGGAACUCAGCCCAGUGUACUUAUUAAUACUUACUCCUUGGGGUCGGAAGUGGAUGAGAAGUCUGACAUGAUGUCACCCGGUGAGAAAUAUGACCUAGGCGCACACAAACGCGUGCGCAUGCGAUGCUCUCCCACAUUACGAUCCGUCGGCUGGGAUGUCAUGUCACUUAUCUUAAGCAGUGCAGAGAUGUGGCAGGAGAUGAUAACACCGAGCCUGACUGAAAAACGCUGACUGCUUGGAUUCAUGAGCGACCAAAACAUCAAGAAUCACAGCUUGGCUGCCUUUAAAGUUCGGUGGAAAUGUCUGGGAAGUGAAAACCGAGCUGUGUGCCAAGUUCUUGAUUAGUUGCAUCAACACUUACAACUCUUCAUUUGCGAAUUUGGAGCGCUUGACAAAUUACACUCAAACUAUUGCGCUCGCAGCCUCGAUUCGACUAAUUACGUUUAAUUAUUUAUUACUUCCCAUUUUUAACUUUAGGUUCUUAGUUAACUUCUCACUUCAGAGUAUUAAUUUUCAAUUUUCAUAGUGAAUGAACAUGUACAAAGUGCGCGCUUUUAUUUCAUUUUUUAUUUUUUAAUGAAUUCCGGAUUAUAACGUGCACUCUCCUCCCUUCAGAAGGGGCUCAGGGAGCGCGUGCAAUCUCUUGAUAAUGUUGAUGAGAGCAUUAUAGGUAAUGACUUCAACAAUAGCAACAGUCAUACUCAUUUUCAUUUUCGUGAUUGCGUUCAGUCUAACGUAAAGCCCUCCUCUCCUCUGUUUGCACGACGAUUCAACUGAGAGCUUCCCUUAAGGGAGCUGCUUCCUAUCUCAUCCAUACUGCAUCGUUCUGUCAACACGGACGUCUUGUUGCUGCCAUUCACGCUGCGACUACACGCUUUCCGUAUCCUCUAGCCCUAAAAUAUUCGUCUUUAAAUGCAUAUGCGUUUUUGUUUGAACUUACUUCUCUUUUUUCCUACCCCAACACCCCCCACAACUGUUUGUCAGCCCCCAUUUACGAAGUGGGAACAUCUAUUUUAAGCUCUGCGCCAUAGACCAGCCACCCACACGCUGCUAGUGAGAGAGAGGGAGAAGAAGCAGAUAAAAGAGUGAGAGAGAGAGAGACUAGCACAUGUUAUCAGAGGAGCAGAAGCACUGGGGGGAGAGAAACCGAAUGAGGGGGUUAGUGUAUGUGUGUCACCAGUUCAUCAAAAGCAACAAUGCUGUUGGCACAGCAACAGUUUAUUUAACACCACAUACACACAUGGGCAGAUGCUUUACAGAUGAUACAUUAGAUACGAUCCAGUCGGCGUGUUGUCCUCAAACUUUCUCCAAACCAAAAAGAGAGAGGAAAUGGAAGUGUCCAGAGUUUUCAAACUCGAUGACUUUUUCAUUCUUUUGAGGAGCACAAAAGAAGACAAUUUUCUAUGUUCUUUUCCAUGCAAUUACACUGAAUGGAGACCAAAGCUUUCAAGCUUGAAAA